UUUCUCUCUGGGCUUCUCUCUUAUUUUUGCAACUCUCUCUUCUUCUCUUUUGGUUCGGUUGCAUCAAGAGAAAGGAAGAAGCUCUCUAGCUCUUCCUCUAGUCCUCUUUAAUUGGAAUUUCAUCAAAGAAGAAGGAUUGCAUCUUCUUCUCCCUUGGAUGGCAACUUUUGAAAAGGAGAAUCAAGGAUCUUCUUCAUCACACUCUUUAGCCAGAUCUAAUCUCUCUUGAGUUUGCUCGUGAGUGGCACUUUGCGGGUCAAACAUUGGAUUGUUGGAAUCGGGAGUACGAGCAAUCCAAGCAACCCCCGGAAUCGUGCAGAUUCUGAUGCUGUGAUUGCUGGUACUCCUGAGCUAAAUGAUGACCCAGUGGCUUUAUAUUUGGGGUAUUACGAUUGAAGCCCACAGUGACGAUCGUAAUUUGUUGGACUACGGAGUCCUUUGUCUUUUGGAUAUUUUUGUAUAUGGCUUGUGACGCAUGUGUCACGUAUUUUUGGUAUAGCCAUUCUUUUGUAAUCGUGGUAUAUGUUGUAAGCCUAAAACAGAUAGACAUGGGUAAUUGGCUCUUUUGAUUGGACCACAGACUAGUUAUAGAUGUGCUUUCCGUUAUGACUGAUUGGUAUCAUAAUAUAUUCCGCUGUG